GUGGGGAAUAUUGGACAAUGGGCGCAAGCCUGAUCCAGCCAUGCCGCGUGAGUGAUGAAGGCCUUAGGGUUGUAAAGCUCUUUCACCGGUGAAGAUAAUGACGGUAACCGGAGAAGAAGCCCCGGCUAACUUCGUGCCAGCAGCCGCGGUAAUACGAAGGGGGCUAGCGUUGUUCGGAAUUACUGGGCGUAAAGCGCACGUAGGCUGAUAUUUAAGUCAGGGGUGAAAUCCCGGGGCUCAACCCCGGAACUGCCAUUGAUACUGGGUAUCUUGAGUAUGGAAGAGGUCAGUGGAAUUGCGAGUGUAGAGGUGAAAUUCGUAGAUAUUCGCAGGAACACCAGUGGCGAAGGCGGCUGACUGGUCCAUUACUGACGCUGAGGUGCGAAAGCGUGGGGAGCAAACAGGAUUAGAAACCCUAGUAGUCC
rnacentral:rRNA from 1 species